rnacentral:rRNA from 1 species
UACGUAGGAGGCAAGCGUUGUCCGGAAUUACUGGGUGUAAAGCGCGUGUAGGCGGCAGGCCAAGUCUGGGGUGAAAGCGCCCGGCUCAACUGGGUGCGGUCCCUGGAAACUGGUCAGCUGGAGGACGGUAGAGGCGAGUGGAAUUCCCGGUGUAGUGGUGAAAUGCGUAGAGAUCGGGAGGAACACCAGUGGCGCAGGCGGCUCGCUGGGCCGGUCCUGACGCUGAGACGCGAAGGCGUGGGGAGCGAAC